ACAGGAAGGAGGGUCUAGUCAGAGCACAGGGAGGAGGGGCUAGUCAGAGCACAGGGAUGUGGGGCUAGUCAGAGCACAGGGAGGAGGGGCUAGUCAAAGCACAGGGAGGAGGGGCUAGUCAGAGCACAGGGAGGAGGGACUAGUCAGAACACAGGAAGGAGGGGCUAGUCAGAGCACAGGGAUGUGGGGCUAGUCAGAGCACAGGGAGGAGGGGCUAGUCAGAGCACAGGGAUGUGGGGCUAGUCAGAGCACAGGGAGGUGGGGCUAGUCAGAGCACAGGGAGGAGGGACUAGUCAGAACACAGGAAGGAGGGGCUAGUCAGAGCACAGGGAUGUGGGG
ensembl:lncRNA